rnacentral:sRNA from 1 species
UGGAGUUGAAUUAAUGUCGCAUAUCGUUCGUUUCACCGGGCUACUACUACUAAACGCAUUUACUGUGCGCGGUAGAGCGGUGGGCGACAUUCAGCAUUAAGUCAGCUCGACGUCAAACAAAAACCCGCGCCGUUGCGCGGGUUUUUUU